CCACAUUUUAGGUAAAGGGGAGUAACUCUCCUACUGAUAUGUUAUUGUCAUUAAAGCACCAGUUCAAAUGUAAUUUUUCUCUUCUGAUGCUUCGUCCUAUAAAUGUCAGUAUUAUUAAGAGAAGAACAUGGCUUUUCUUACCCCAUGAUAUUUAUGUUAAAAUCAGAAAGAUGUCUGAUAGCUUUUGUGCCCAGUGCUAAUGGUACAUGUACAUGAUAUAUGUAAAAUGGGGACACACGAACAAGUCUCGCUGACCAUGUCUUUAUAGUGGAUAGUGGAUUGUGAAAUGUAAAUCGGCUGAGCAAUUGUUGUUUUCAUUAUGUUAAUGCAAUGAACAAAUUAUCGUGUAGAAAAAGGUUGUGUAUUUUGUUAGCAGAUGAAUACAUUUAUAGUCCAAAAGUC
rnacentral:sRNA from 1 species